UGGAAACGUUCUUGCUUUUAUAUACCGGUACCUGUAACAUACAUUUUACACUUCAUUACCUGCGUAAUGCUUAGAUAGUGUGACAUGAUUGCAGUUUUCGGAGGUCUGUUCUGUACUCUGGAUGACAUAGGCAAUUGGAAAGUUUUUGUUAGUCUUUUGUUGACGAUAUUCAUAUGACACCAUCUCCAAAACUUUGCUUCAAAUCUUUUUGCUGAAAAAGUGCUGCAAACUCCAGCUGGUUUGGCAUGAUGAUUAAAAAAAAUGUGAGGAUAGGUAUGAAUUUCUUAGUAAACCACAUAAAAAUUACAAGUAUAUCUUCUGUAUUGUAUUACUAUACUGUUUAAUCACAGUAAAAAAAGAGUGAAACAUAAUCUGCACUAGAUAUUUCUGAAAGACCAAUGGGCACUGUAAUUGAAGUAUUCCAGAGCUGAACACAUCCAUCCUAAAAUAAACCUAAUUUACACAUCUUCACUUGAGGUUUGGUGACCACAAUAGAUAGCUCUAUCAGUUCUAAACUGUUCUUGCUAGAGGUCCAGUAAGAAAUUUUUGAUCCCUUUAUAAA